UUAUUUGGAACUAGGAAGAAGAAAAUAUACUUUCUGAACUUUAUGUCCAGCGAAGUGUUUCAUGCCAUAGGAGCUUCCCUGACUAUUAUGGGGCCUAUUAUGAAAGGAGUGAAGACUCACUUUGGAUUGCCAUGGAAUUCCUUUCUGGCGGCUCUGUAGCAGAUUUAAUUGAGACCAAGAAUUAUUCCUUGGGAGAGCACUGGAUAGCCUAUAUAUGCAAGGAAGUAUUACUGGGCUUGACUUACUUGCAGGAGAUGAAUGUGAUCCAUCAUGACCUUAAGGGCCUCAAUAUAAUGCUAACAUCAAGCGCCCAAGUGAAGAU